CUUUUACUGAAAAACUGCUAGAACACCUGUAGUCAAAUUCAAAGGACUUUAACAAGGAAAUUCCUCAUAAUUUUAGUGUUUUAGAUUAUGGUGUACACUGGAGACACUGAAUUAAUUACUCCUGUGUGGACUAUCAAUCCAUAUAUGUCUAUUUUUUAUGGAAAUCUGGCAUUGCUUUUCAUUUUUUGAAUUGUGCUAUUAAAAGGGUGGAUACAGUAACAUACCAGAAAUGUUGCUAAGAGUUCACCAGAUAUGAUUAUUCAUUUAUAGUCUGAAUAUAAAAAUCUUAUAAUAGUUUUGAGUGUUAUUGUUAAUACCACAUUUAGCACUAGUCAUUGGAAUAGUAACAUUACCUUGAUUGCUUUUGGCAGGUAAGUGAAUCAUAUAAUCUAAAGAAAGCAAGCUUGAAGAUGUCCUUGACAAAAUAGGGGGUUGUUAAAAUUUGAUGGCUUCAUGAGCUACUAAAAAAUACAUGCAACUUUCAGAGUCUGGGACCUACAUUGGAUGCAUUCAUGCUGUAACACCCAGGAGAUUGUCAGUUUCAUAGGCCAGGUCAGAACUUUUCCCAUCUCUCUGUGUGAAGGUUGGGACCAGUGCAGCCAGCAGGAAAACAGUAGACUGUUUUUCCAACAUCUUCUGGAAGAAUAAUUGGAAAAGACAGGCUGCAGCAAUGUGAAAUAAAGAUAUCAGGAGUAGUCAUCAUGGAUUCACCAAGGGGAAAUCAUACUCAACCAAAGCUACCAACUUGGCAGCCUUCUAUAAUGUCUUGUCCAGCUGGAUAGAUGAGGGGAGAGCAGUGGAUGUUGUCUACCAUGACUUCAGCAAGGCUUUUAACAUUGCCUCCCAUAACAUCCAUGUACCCAUUACAAAAGUAGCUGAAAAACUGGACAGAAUGG
ensembl:lncRNA